UAUGUUAAUAUAACAGUUAGUAGGAGUGUAACAUAAUAUAUAUUAGUAGUAGUAAAGAAUAUUCGGUAAUGAUGGUAUAAUUUCUUAUAGAUUGUAAUAUAUGUACAGAUUAAGAAUAAAAGAGUAAAAGUAUUUAUGAUACCUUUUCUGUUUUGAUCAGGACAUCAUAUAAAUAUAUUAUUAUCCACUAUUAUAUAUUAUCAAAUAUAAGUAGUAGGAUAUCUCUUAUUACCUAAUUUAAAAUCGUUUAUAACAUUGAACAUAGCAUUAAAAAAAAAAAAUCCUUUUUUUUUUUUUUCUUUUGCAACAUAUAUACUAAUAUGGUAUGGUAUAUAUGAAAGUCAUGUGGUUGGUUAACUAAAGGGAUGUAGAAUAUAUAUAGGAGUAUAAUAAUAGUGAGAUUAUUUAUGCAUAUAUAUUAUGUGUGUGGAUGGUACUAUGGCGGAAUUGAUUGGUACUAAAUAAUCUUGAAAAAGACUACAUAUAUAUAAUAUCAUUGCAAAAUGCCAGUGAUAUUAUAUAUAGAAGGAACCUCAUAUAUGUAUUCAUUAAAGAUGCAUAUAUGAGUUGGGGAAAUACAAGCGAAUGCGGUACAAACAGAGGGGUACAGGAACAUGGCUACAGGUACUUUUUUACAGGUACAUGGCUACAAGACUUGUUUACGGGAUUUUCCUACAGGAUUUAUCUAAUGGAUUUUCCUACAGGAUUUACCUAAUGGAUUUUCCUACAGGAUUUACCUAAUGGAUUUUCCUACAGGAUUUACCUAAUGGAUGUUCCUACAGGAUUUACCUAAUGGACUUGUUUACAGGAUUUGCCUAAUGGAUUUUCCUACAGGAUUUACCUAAUGGACUUGCCUAAUGGAUUUACCUGAUGGACUUGCCUAAAGGAUUUACCUAAUGGACUUGCCUAAAGGAUUUACCUAAUGGACUUACCUACAGGAUUUACCUAAUGGAUUUUCCUAUAGGACUUGUUUACAGGAUUUGCCUAAUGGACAUGCCCAAUGGAUUUUCCUACAGGACUUGUUUACAGGAUUUGCCUAAUGGAUUUUCCUACAGGAUUUACCUAAUGGACUUGCCUAAUGGAUUUACCUGAUGGACUUGCCUAAAGGAUUUACCUAAUGGACUUGCCUAAAGGAUUUCCCUAAAGGACUUGUUUACAGGAUUUACCUAAUGGAUUUUCCUAUAGGACCUUUUUACAGGAUUUGCCUAAUGGAUUUCCCUAAAGGACUUGUUUACAGGAUUUACCUAAUGGAUUUUCCUAUAGGACCUUUUUACAGGAUUUGCCUAAUGGACAUGCCCAAUGGAUUUUCCUACAGGACUUGUUUACAGGAUUUGCUUAAUGGAUUUUCCUAUAGGACCUUUUUACAGGAUUUGCCUAAUGGAUUUCCCUAGAGGACUUGUUUAAAGGAUUUACCUAAUGGAUUUUCCUAUAGGACCUUUUUACAGGAUUUGCCUAAUGGACAUGCCCAAUGGAUUUUCCUACAGGACUUGUUUACAGGAUUUGCCUAAUGGAUUUCCCUAAAGGACUUGUUUACAGGAUUUUCCUAAUGGACUUGCCUAAAGGAUAUGCCUAUAUAUAUAUGGCUAAGGAGAACGGUUUCUACCGAAGGGCUACAGAAAAAGAUUAUAAUAAAUAAAAAAGUGCAAAUCUUUUUCAGAAACGGCACAGGCGCAGCCAAUAUGCACUAGGAAACAAAGGAAAAGGUACAAAUAAAAAUGUGCAAAACUGAUACAGAAACGGCACAGGAGCAGCCAAAUAAUGCACAUAGGAAAGCACAAAAAAAGAUUCAGAAAUUCUAAAGUACGUUUUUAAUAUCAGUUGGUACUUUAGAAAACUGUCUUUCUAUGGGUAAGGAAUAAAUUGUAUUUUAAUUAUAUGCAAUUUAUUUGUGUUUUCUUCUUAUAUGGUAACAUAUAAUGUUUGAAUUAAAUGUGUUUGUUUGUUUAUUUUUACAUUUGCAUACAAAAGGCAUGAAAUGCGCCUUUUUUUUAUUAUUUUGUGUUUCGUUUUAAUUGCUUGAAUUCGUUACAUAAAAAUCAUAUAUAUAAUAUGGCAUAUUUUACUAUUAAGUAGAAUAUGCCAUAAUAUAACUAAGUUUUUUUUUUUUUUUUUUUUAGCUCUCAUUUCUUUUAUAUUUAGGUGUGUUGAGUAUUUUUUAUCGUUUUAAAGGUUAACUUUUUUUUAUCUUAAUUAAAGUUAAUUCUUAUGACGUUUUACUUUUACAGGUCGUGCAUGAGAUACUUUUUGUUGUAAGAAGAAAGGAUCGUUCUUUUAUAACCCACGUGUAGGAAGAUAAUGUAGGUAAAAGCAUUUUAUAAUUGUUAUUAUAAUAAUGAAACAAAAAUAAAAAAAAAAAAAAGUAAAAAGAAAAAAAAAAAAAAAAAAAAAAAAAAAAAAAAAAAAAAGUAAAAAGAAAAAAAAAAAAAAAGUAAAAAGAAAAAAAAAAAAAAAACCUACAUGUAUAUAUACAUAAUUUUUAUUUUAUGUAUAUACAUUUUUAUAUGGAUAGCAUAUACUAUAUGUUUUAUUUAUACUUGUGUUAUAGUGUUGCAUAUAGAAAAAAAAUUCAUUGGCCUAAUGUAAAGAGGUGAAUGAAGUGUUAUUUUUAUUAUUAAUUUAUUUUAAUUGAAGUUAAUAAUUAAAAUAUAUGUGUGUUAGUAUAAUAUGUAGUAUAUAUAAUAGUGAUUGCCUUAUGUUAUUAUGUUGUGUAUAUAUGUUGUUGCACGUAAAUAGAUAUAUAUAUGUCUGUCUAAAUAUAUAAUUAAUUACAUGAAUGAAUAUUUUUUUUAAUAUGUCUUCAUUUCACAAUUAAAUGUGUGUUACAUCAAUAAAAUGUAUUUUUAUAAGUCUUCAUUUCAUAAUUAAAUGUGCGUUACAUCAAUAAAUGUAUUUUUAUAAGUCUUCAUUUCAUAAUUAAAUGUGUGUUACAUCAAUAAAAUUUUUUUUUAAUAAACCUUAAAUUUAUAAUUAAAUGUGUUACAUGAAUGAAUACGUGUAGUUAUAGAAACACAAAUGACGCUAAGAUAUAUUCAUAGUGAUAUCUUGAAGACCAAAUAAAGACAAGACAAAUAAAUAAUAGUAUACAUUACAGUAUAUAUAUUUGAAGACUUGACGAAUAUGGAAAUCUUGAAGAAGAAUGGAUUUAAUGAGUUAAUAGAAAUCCCCAAAGAC